rnacentral:rRNA from 1 species
UACGGAGGAUGCGAGCGUUAUCCGGAUUUAUUGGGUUUAAAGGGUGCGUAGGCGGAUCGUUAAGUCAGUGGUCAAAUUGAGGGGCUCAACCCCUUCCCGCCAUUGAAACUGGCGAUCUUGAGUGGAAGAGAAGUAUGCGGAAUGCGUGUGUAGCGGUGAAAUGCAUAGAUAUCACGCAGAACCCCGAUUGCGAAGGCAGCAUGCCGGCUUCCGACUGACGCUGAAGCACGAAAGCGUGGGGAUCGAACAGG